AUUUAAAUGAAAACAUUAAACGGAACUAUCUCACAUUCACAGAGUUAGUAAUUUUAUUAUAUAAGUCCUUAAAACUCACGCAUUGUCAUUGAUAACAUCUCAUCAGGAGACAGGGUUUGAGAGCAGACAACUGGUCUGACCAAAAAUUUAUUAGGCGGGAAUUUCCUCAUCCUAAUGAGCCUGGGAGUGCUAUGGGAGACUGGGGCUUAUUUCAUCCCUAGAGCUGACCAUAAAAGAUGUCCGCACCCAGGGAGGCCAUUUUAGAGGCCUACCCUCAGGAACGCAUUCUCUUUCUCAGGGAUGUUCCUUGCUGAGUAAAAGAAUUCAGCUAUAUUUCUCCCAUUUGCUUUUGAAAGAAGAGAAAUAUGGCUCUGUUCCGCCCGGGUCACUGGCAGUCAGAGUUUAAGAUUAUCUCUCUCGUUCUCUGAACAUUGCUGUUAUCCUGUUCGUUUUUCAAGGUGCCCAGAUUUCACAUUGUUCAAACACACAUGCUCUACAAACAAUUUGUGCAGUUAACGCAAUCAUCACAGGGUCCUGAGGUGACAUACAUCCUCCUCAGUUUACGAAAAUGACGGGAUUAAGAGAUUAAAGUAAAGACAGGCAUAGGAAAUCACAAGGGUAUUGAUUGGGGAAGUGAUAAGUGUCCAUGAAAUCUUCACAAUUUAUAUUCAGAGAUUGCAGUAAAGACAGGUGUAAGAAAUUAUAAAAGUAUUAAUUUGGGGAACUAAUAAAUGUCCAUGAAAUCUUCACAAUUUAUGUUCUUCCGCCAUGGCUUCAGCGGGUCCCUCUGUUUGGGGUCCCUGACUUCCUGCAACAUUCAAGACUUCUUUUGAGAUAUUGUUUUUAAGUCUUUAGACAUACUUAUAAUCUAGGAAGCAAGAUUCAUAAUUGGAAGUGUUUGAUUCGUAAAAUAUUUGACCAUUUAUGAACCAAAACUGAAAACUUAAUUACCAAGGAAAAAGGAAUUAUAAUUAAAUAUACAUCCAUUACUAAUAUUCUUACCCAUUUAAAGAUCACCACUUUUUAAUAUGGGCAUGUCUGAACUUUUCAAAUAUAUUGUUUUUCAGGGCCCGAGGUAAACUGACAUUUUCUCUUCACAUCUGAAUGCCACAAUUCUACUCCCACAGUCUACUUUAUUGUGUUUGCUUUUUCUUCCUUACACAAACACACAGACACACAUAAAUAAACACACACACA
rnacentral:lncRNA from 1 species